rnacentral:tRNA from 2 species
GCGGGUAUAACCGAAUUGGCAUAGGUAUCGGAUUUAAAAUCCGAGUUUUAAGAGUUCGAAUCUCUUUACCCGCA